CGCCACACGCGAAGAAUCGCCUACGAAGCGCAACAGACGGGAGGUCGUUUCGGCGACCUUCAAUCAUGCUUUGGGGAAAUUCCUCGGACCACUGGCAGAGAGUGUCGUCGCUAGUGCGAGUCGCCAUGCACUUUUGCGCAUCGCUGGUCGGAAUCCUCGUUCCACUGAGACGCCCUAGGGAAGAGUGGAGGUUCCUGACUGGGUCAUCGUUGUGCAGUUUGGGUGUCAUCGGCGUUUGUCAUACCUGACAGUUAUGCGAUUGCUGUGUCAGAAGUGCUGAAAAGUGCAUCUGGCAUGGAAACACAACGAGGAUUACUCUCGCAGUGGC
rnacentral:RNase_MRP_RNA from 2 species